GAUGAACGCUGGCGGCGUGCCUAAUACAUGCAAGUCGAGCGAACGGACGAGAAGCUUGCUUCUCUGAUGUUAGCGGCGGACGGGUGAGUAACACGUGGAUAACCUACCUAUAAGACUGGGAUAACUUCGGGAAACCGGAGCUAAUACCGGAUAAUAUUUUGAACCGCAUGGUUCAAAAGUGAAAGACGGUCUUGCUGUCACUUAUAGAUGGAUCCGCGCUGCAUUAGCUAGUUGGUAAGGUAACGGCUUACCAAGGCAACGAUGCAUAGCCGACCUGAGAGGGUGGUCGGCCACACUGGAACUGAGACACGGUCCAGACUCCUACGGGAGGCAGCAGUAGGGAAUCUUCCGCAAUGGGCGAAAGCCUGACGGAGCAACGCCGCGUGAGUGAUGAAGGUCUUCGGAUCGUAAAACUCUGUUAUUAGGGAAGAACAUAUGUGUAAGUAACUGUGCACAUCUUGACGGUACCUAAUCAGAAAGCCCCGGCUAACUACGUG
rnacentral:rRNA from 1 species